AACGAACGCUGGCGGCAUGCCUAACACAUGCAAGUCGAACGAGACCUUCGGGUCUAGUGGCGCACGGGUGCGUAACGCGUGGGAACCUGCCCUUAGGUUCGGAAUAACUCCCCGAAAGGGGUGCUAAUACCGGAUAAUGUCUUCGGACCAAAGAUUUAUCGCCUUUGGAUGGGGCCGCGUUGGAUUAGCUAGUUGGUAGGGUAAAAGCCUACCAAGGCGACGAUCCAUAGCUGGUCUGAGAGGAUGAUCAGCCACACUGGGACUGAGACACGGCCCAGACUCCGACGGGAGGCAGCGGUGGGGAAUAUUGUACAAUGGGCGAAAGCCUGAUCCAGCAAUGCCGCGUGAGUGAUGAAGGCCUUAGGGUUGUAAAGCUCUUUUACCCGAGAUGAUAAUGACAGUACCGGGUGAAUAAGCUCCGGCUAACUCCGUG
rnacentral:rRNA from 1 species